rnacentral:ncRNA from 1 species
GUUUAAAUUUCAAAUUAUUAAUUCUUUUUCAAUAGGCGUUUUAUAAUCAGGUAUAGCGCUACAAGCAUAAUGAGAAACAGCUAUCACAUCCAACGAUUGCAGUACAAAUUACCCAAUCCCGACACAGGGAGGUAGUGACAAUAAAUAACAAUACUAAAUACAUAUUCUUUUGAAUCUUGUAAUUGGAAUGAGUAUAAUUUAAAAUCUUAACGAGGAACAAUUGGAUGGAUCAUCCAUCAAC